rnacentral:rRNA from 1 species
AUGCUUAACACAUGCAAGUCGAACGGUAACAUGGAGAGCUUGCUCUCUGAUGACGAGUGGCGGACGGGUGAGUAAGGCGUAGGAAUCUGCCCAACAGUGGGGAAUAACCUGGGGAAACCCAGGCUAAUACCGCAUACGCUCUGUACUUAGGUAGAGAGGAAAGCGGGGGCCCUUUUCGAAGGCCUCGCGCUGAUGGAUGAGCCUACGUCCGAUUAGCUAGUUGGUAGGGUAAGAGCCUACCAAGGCGACGAUCGGUAGCUGGUCUUAGCGGAUGAUCAGCCACACUGGGACUGAGACACGGCCCAGACUCCUACGGGAGGCAGCAGUGGGGAAUAUUGGACAAUGGGGGCAACCCUGAUCCAGCAAUGCCGCGUGUGUGAAGAAGGCCUGCGGGUUGUAAAGCACUUUCAGUGGUGAGGAAAGCUCACGCGUUAAUAGCGCGGGAGGGUGACGUUAGCCACAGAAGCAGCACCGGCUAACUCCGUG